rnacentral:rRNA from 1 species
AUUGAACGCUGGCGGCAGGCCUAACACAUGCAAGUCGAGCGAGCGGCGGACGGGUGAGUAAUGUAUGGGGACUGCCCGAUAGAGGGGGAUAACUCCUGGAAACGGUAGCUAAUACCGCAUACUAUCGGAUAACCCAUAUGGGAUUAGCUAGUAGGGGAGGUAAUGGCUCCACUAGGCGACGAUCCCUAGCUGUUCUGAGAGGAUCAUCAGCCACACUGGGACUGAGACACGGCCCAGACUCAUACGGAGGCAGCAGUGGGGAAUAUUGCAGAAUGGGCGCAAGCCUUAUGCAGCCAUGCCGCGUGUAUGAAGAAGGCCCUAGGGUUGUAAAGUACUUUCAGUCGGGAGGCGUUACCGACAGAAGAAGCACCGGCUAACGCCGUGCCAGCAGCCGCGGUAAUAC